GUAGGCGACCGGAUGUGACGUUUAAGGUUGCGCCCGUAAACCCGCUGCCGUCUGUUUCCUCGCGGAUUAGGUCGUGGAAGAGUUGGUUUGCUUCGCGGUGCGAGGGGCAGCGCUUUCUAGUUGAUCAACAGGCUCUGGGUCGGGUUAGGCAGAAUGCCAGAUUGGGAACCAUAUGUGCAGAGAAGCAAGUGGAAAUGGAUGCAGUCUCCUUGGGUGCUGACCUGCUUGGUCUCUGUCAUUCUGCUGUGCUCAGCUGGCUGGCGAGGCAUGGGAGCAGAUGCUGGGGACUCUCACGGGGCUGGCACGCAGGACAGAGAGCUGUUGCCACGUCUGCCGUUGCCCACGUCUGCUGCUGCAGCCACGGUCACAUUGCGAAGACUUCACAGUGACAUUUCAUGUGCUGACUGGCUACUGAGGAAAUCGGCUUCAGGACUGUACCUACAUAAGAAGGCCACACGGAAGAUGGUUCUUGUCACUUCAAUUGAGUCACUAUUUUUAGGAAGUCAUCUGUUGCUGCUGGAAAAUAAACCUCUAAGGGCUCACGUUGUGCUAUCUCCCAAGACACCUGUAGAGACAGCUGGUGUUUGGAAUCUUGGCUUGAAGAUCUUUGUCCAGGCUAGAGAAAAGAAAAUGUCAAGAUGUAUC